rfam:Ictidomys tridecemlineatus contig086350, whole genome shotgun sequence.
GGGGAUAUAGCUCAGUUGGUAGAGUGCUUGCCUCAUAUGCACGAGGCCCUGGGUUCAAUCCCCAGCACUACCA